GUUGUGCAAAAGCCACACCUCAGGCUUGCAAUUUGCUCAGGUUUGGGUUUACACACUCAGUACUUGCAUGCAGCCCUGGUUGUGUGAGCUAGCAGUGACAUCCUAACGGUGACAUCCCAGUGGUGGCAUCUGAAUGGUAAUAUCACAGUGGUGACAUCCCAACAGUGCCGUCCUGAUGAUGACAUCCCAGUGAUGACAUCACAAUGGUGACAUCCCAGGGGUGACACCCCAAUGGUGACAUCCUAGCAGUGGCAACCCAACAGUGACAUCCCAGUGAUGCCAUCCUUGUGGUGCCAUCCCAGCCAUGACAUAUCCCAGUGGUGACAUCCCAGUGGUGACACCCCAG
rnacentral:lncRNA from 1 species